rnacentral:lncRNA from 1 species
CAAACAUGCUUCAUUUUCACAGAAACAUACAAAUUGUGAAAACAUUUUUUUUAAAAAAAACUUAAGACAAGCGAUGUUUCGGAGUGUCUUUGAGGGAAGCUUAUCAAUGUACGGCAUGGACAUUAAUCGAAGGCCAUAUCCUCACAAUUGCACUGCAUAAACAGAAGGGCACCUGCUCAAGUUCUGUUUCAUGUAGAAGUAACAUUUCGUUCUCCCAAAAAAUGUACUAUGGAGUAAAUGUUCCCUACUUACCGUAUCAGCUUCCACAUUCUCUUCUCGAUUUUCUCAUGAUGGUGAUUCACCAGAAAAUGAGGGUUCAAGUAGAGUGCAAUGUAAAACUAAACGUUACGAUCCACCAGGCAUUCCUCCAGGCAAAAAUUUGUCAUGAGAGGAACUUCAUUGUACAUUCUGGUAAGUUCAUGGAAACUUGACUCCUUCUCUUUCACGUAGCAUAUAAUGCAAAUAAAUAAUGUUAUUUACAAUCAGCAACUACAGUAAUCAUCAUAUGUGCCAACUUAUUACUUGAGGCAUUAAUUUUCAAUAAUUUUGUUACCUCAAAUAACAAGUUGUGACAUAGGAUGAUUAUUGCAUUCGUUGAUUAUAAAUAGCAUUACUCAGUGCCGGUGUUAACAUGUUUUACGACAUUAUGCACUCUCAUUUUAGAAAGUUACUGUGCUAACAGUACUUUAAAGAAUUACCAUAAACCUAAAUUAAUUGUGACUAAAAUGCAGAGUAAAGAAACAAAACAGAGCUAGAAGCUCAAUAAGAAUUGGAUAAAAUUCGAAUGAGAUAAAUGACAGCAAUGCUACGUCUUUACACAAUCCCUCCCUUACUUUAUCUCUCUCUUUUCAUUUUUUUUUUCACCUUCCCUACCGUUAGGCAGGGUUGCAUAAGGAAAAGACAAUGUAAAUAUUCUUCAAACGUUCUUUUUUCUUAUUUUUUUUAAUAUGCUUUGCUCUUUUAACCUUUUCUGCACUCUUUCCGCUACAAGAUCAAGUUAAAAUAAUAUACUCUUGAACCAAGAAAUGUAAUCCGUGAACUUUGCCCCGCCUGGCAAAGAGAAGGCAGCUUGCGAAGUGAAUGAAGGCCUAAGAAGUGCACUCCAAAUAGGCGAACCUCCCCCUCUAUCCAGGCUGUCUCCAGAUUGGCAAGGAAGGGCACUUGGGCCAAUAAAUGAAGUGAGACUCUUAUUCGAAUUAGUUAUAAGAUAACCAAUAAGGAGCCGCCGUCUGGUAUUCAUUCAAAAUGACCCAAUUACCCCCUUUCAAAAUGACCCAAUUACCCCAAGGCUUGGAGACAAACCUAUAAAUACUCCCUCACUUGAAGAGAAACGCAUGUAAUUCAAAUAUCUCCCUCUCAAACAGUUAUUGCCCUUCUUGUUUCAGUUUGAACAUCAAAACUAGUGAAUUUAGGAAAUGAAAAUCAUUAGCAGUUGAGUAAGAUUUAUUGAUCAAAUUUCUAUCAUCAAUAUAUACAUAGUAACGAACUGCCUACUAUUAUAAUGGAGAUAUAAAAUAUGAACA